rnacentral:rRNA from 1 species
AGCAGCCGCGGUAAUUCCAGCUCCAAUAGCGUAUAUUAAAGUUGUUGCAGUUAAAAAGCUCGUAGUUGAAUUUCGAGAUCAGUACGCUGGUCGUGCCUUCGGUAUGCACUGGUGUCACUGGUUUCUCCCUUCUGAAGAACCGUCAUGCCAUUCAGUUGGUGUGGCGGGGAAUCAGGACUGUUACUUUGAAAAAAUUAGAGUGUUUAAAGCAGGCUCGCGCUUGAAUACAUUAGCAUGGAAUAAUGAAAUAGGACGUUUGACCCUAUUUUGUUGGUUUCUAGGAUCGACGUAAUGAUUAAUAGGGAUAGUUGGGGGCAUUAGUAUUCAAUUGUCAGAGGUGAAAUUCUUGGAUUUAUUGAAGACUAACUACUGCGAAAGCAUUUGCCAAGGAUGUUUUCAUUAAUCAAGAACGAAAGUUAGGGGAUCGAAGACGAUCAGAUACCGUCGUAGUCUUAACCAUAAACUAUGCCGACUAGGAUCGGAUGAUGUUAAUUUUUUAAUGACUCA